rnacentral:lncRNA from 1 species
CAGCUACAGCCAGGAGCUCUUUAACAAGUAUGUCUAAAAGGAAACACCCUUUACCCUAUAUGGACAAAAAGAAACCACACAGAGCCCCACCACCAAGCAUAUAUUGGCGGCUAACUGGAUCUGCUGCUUGACAAGGGAACUGCGGUGCCCAGGGCUGCUGUCUGUCUGUUACCCUGGGAGAUGAGUCGGCUUGAGAGAGGCAUGGACGAUGUGCUCGCACCCAACGGAGCCCUUUCUCCUUGAGCUGCUGAGAAGAAUGGGGCUUGAAAGAGGGACAGCUUUGCUGUGUGACUGAAUUCCAUGUUCCUUUACUACCUGCGAUCAUCUUGCUUCCCUCACUUCGGAAAAUGCUGUGAUAAAGUGAUUGAGACUAUAGGUUCUCUUAGUGUUCUUAAGAGUCAAUAACAGCUGUGCAUUUAUUAUUUUAUUUUUUCAGGCUGAGUCUUGCUCUGUUGUCCAAGCUGGGGUACAGUGGUGUGAUUUUGCAGUGAGCUGCAGCCUCAACCUCUGGGGCUCAAGCGAUCUUCCCACCUCAGCCUCCUGAGUAGCUGGGAUUACAGGUGUGAACCGCCGCACCCAGCCUCAGCUGUGCGUUUAAAUACCAAGAUGUCAUUUGGGUGGCAUUUUUGGGGGGUCAUGUAUAGGCUUAGAGAAUGUUGCAGCUGAAAAGAUCCCUGAGGACUCAAUUGAUCUGACACCCCCCCAUCUCUGCUUCCUUCCUUCCUUUUUUAAAGGAAGGGAAGUAGAAACUGAAGCCCACAGAGGGCAGAGACUUAGCCAGAGCCUCGGAAACAGAGCUGGGACUAACCCCCACCCUCCUAGCUCGGCCAGCAGACCCGGUUAGCUACUUCUCCCACUUUCUCCGCACUUGGCCUUCGGAGACUAUUUUGCUGCUUGAUUUCUGAUUUCUUGUCAGCUGUGAUUAAUGAGGAAAUCUCCUGCAUACACGAUUUUCAGCUGUACCCGGUUUACGGCAAACAGAUUAGAUCAUUUAAGUCAGAAUAAUACUAUUUAGCAAAGCUGGAUUUAGAGCUGGCAGAAAUUAAGAUUAAAGAUAAAAAAAAUAGAGUGAGAAUCAUAGAUCAACACCUGAAAAAUCUUGCUGCCUGUACACAUCCCUAAUUGAGAAGUAUGUGAAAGAUUCCAUCCGUGAAAUUCAAUUAUCAUGCAAGCCAGAGGAAGUGGCUUCCCUGGGGAAAAAAACCAGGCAGCCCAAAUCAAAACAGCCCCACCUGUCUGUUUUCGUGUCAAAAGAGUGAGAAAGCCUGCCUGGCUGAUGAUGAAAUAUGGACGAUAUGCAUCAACUUGAUGAAAAUGUCCAGGGGUCCCUUUCUAUAAUGGGAUUAUCUCUCGAGCUCCUCCAUCAGAAGUUAGCCUGGAAAAACGUUUGAGGCUUCAUAGAUACUGAGGGCAGACUGGCACCUGCACCCCAUUCCUGACACCCUUUCUCCCAGCUUCAGAGUGGGUGGGACUGGAUGGAACUGGAAGACAAAAGGAGCUCUCAAGCCCUGAGCCCCUUCCAUGGAUGAGGGGCUUCUUAACUGGAGCAAUCAGCAGGAAAAUCUCACAACUGUAAUGAUUACAAAUGAGCCAGUGGUAAUUGACCCGCCUUUUAACUGCAAGGAGGGAUGCAGGGUUGGGGCGGGGGUUCUUCAGCACUUGCUUUGUCUCUCGGAUUCCAGAGAGAUUCACACUGCAAUCCUGGAUCUGCAGAAGAGCUGGAUGGAGUUUCUUUUUGGUUAACUGCUGUGCGUGGUCAUGGUGGUAAAUACAGGCUUAUUCCCCUCUGGGGCUUAGAGGCGUACAAUUUGCAAAGUGCUUUCACAUUCAUCAACUCAGAACAUUCGACUCAGAAAACCCUGAGAUAAUGUUUCCCAUUAUACAGAUGAAGAGGCGGAGGUUAAACGAUUGGCUUCAUCUGUUUGAAAAAUCCGUGCUGGAUUCCGAUCUAAUGUGUGUUUGGUGCUACGCUGGUCCAUUUAGAGAAAGGCGCCAUCUCAGUCUCUCAGGAGCAGGCAUUCUGGUGGGGAGGAUUAGACGCUGACUUAUGUGAUCAUCACCGAAGGUCAAAUGUGAUAGGGCCAUCGGGGAGGGGUGCUUAGGGAGAGGUCAAAGAUGAAAAAGACUGCUUGAUGGAGAAACCCUCCCCAAGGGCCAGGGCCAAGCCUGUCUCUACGGCAGUUGUAGCUCCAGUACUUGGCACAAAGCAGGUUUCAAAA